rnacentral:rRNA from 1 species
GUCUUGAAUGAUAUUUUUUUAAGUCUAAUCUGCUCACUGAUAAUUAAAGAGCCGCAGUAUAUUGACUGUGCAAAGGUAGCAUAAUAAUUAGUUUUUUAAUUGAAAACUGGAAUGAAAGAUUGAACGAUAAAUUGACUUUCUUGAUUUUUAAUUUAGAAUUUAAAAUUUAAGUUAAAAUACUUAAAUAUGAUUAAAAGACGAGAAGACCCUAUAGAUUUUUAUUGAUGGUUAAGUUAAUUAAAUAAUUGAUUUAAUAUUUAAUUUAAUUGGGGUGAUUUUGUAAUAUAAAAAACUUAAUGAGGAUAAACCAUAAAUAAUUGAAUUUUUUGAUCUUAAAUUUUAAAUUUAUAGAAUAAAUUACCUUAGGGAUAACAGCGUUAUAUUAUUUAAGAGUUCAUAUCUAUAAUAAUGAUUGCGACCUCGAUGUUGAAUUAAGAAGUUUACAGGAGUAGAAGUUUGUAGAUUUUGGUCUGUUCGACCAAUUAUUUCU